rnacentral:rRNA from 1 species
GACGAACGCUGGCGGCGUGCUUAACACAUGCAAGUCGAGCGGUAAGGCCCUUUGGGGUACACGAGCGGCGAACGGGUGAGUAACACGUGAGUAAUCUGCCUUUGGCUUGGGAAUAACUUCGGGAAAUCGGGGCUAAUGCCUGAUGUUUACUGUCUGCUGCAUGGUGGGUGGUGGAAAGAUUUUUUGGCCAGGGAUGAGCUCGCGGUCUAUCAGCUUGUUGGUGGGGUAAUGGCUACCAAGGCUUUGACGGGUAGCCGGCCUGAGAGGGUGUUCGGCCACACUGGGACUGAGACACGGCCCAGACUCCUACGGGAGGCAGCAGUGGGGAAUCUUGGACAAUGGGCGCAAGCCUGAUCCAGCCAUGCCGCGUGAGUGAAGAAGGCCUUAGGGUUGUAAAGCU